UACGUAGGGGGCAAGCGUUGUUCGGAAUUACUGGGCGUAAAGGGCGCGUAGGCGGCCUUCUAAGUCGAACGUGAAAUCCCUGGGCUCAACCCAGGAACUGCGUCCGAUACUGGAAGGCUUGAAUCCGGGAGAGGGAUGCGGAAUUCCAGGUGUAGCGGUGAAAUGCGUAGAUAUCUGGAGGAACACCGGUGGCGAAGGCGACAUCCUGGACCGGUAUUGACGCUGAGGCGCGAAAGCCAGGGGAGCAAACGGG
rnacentral:rRNA from 1 species